AACAGAGGACAUUUAGGCUGGAUGAAGGCAGGCUCAGGGGGCUACCACGACGAUCAGGCAUCUGAAGCCCCUCUGUGGAGACCCAUCAGACUCGCUCUGUGUUGCCACGGGGCAGGGUUGGGGAUGAAAGGGGGCACCAGUAGCCAUCAGUAAUCACCCACAAAGGGCUCUCUUGCGGACACUUAUGCUGCAAGAGCCACUUCCUCCAUGGUCUUAUCACCUCACCCAGGCCCUGUGGAGCAGCCAGAAGGCGGGGAGAGCUUCUCCCUUGCAGGUCCCCUCCAUUGCUGUCAGUACCCAGCUGGCUCCAGGGCUCUGUGAUGCCGCCAGCUGGGCCUAUGAGGGCCCCGAACCCUGAGUCUUCACUGCCUUUCUCCCAACCCCAGGAAGGUACGCUCAGCCAGAGCCCAGGCCUCAUACACACUGGCAGUGACAAAAAGUAAAACUCCAGCCCCGUCCCCAUGUCUUUCCCCGGGCACCCCUGAGUGCCUUUACUCUAUGGCUGACCUUUGUACUUGUAAGCUAUCCAGAGGCUCUUUGGGCCUCUGCCAGAGUUUCCUAAAACAUACGUUUGCUCUUCUCAUUCUCCUGCCCAGAAGCUUCCAGAGUGCCCUCUUGGCUUCAGACUGAGUCCUCACCUGUGAACGGGCUCACCUUUCAUUUAGUGCAGACAUAGGCCCCCCUGGAGUUUGUCUCUCCCCUUCCCUUCCUUCACCUGGCCAGCUCUCACUCUUCCUUGAAGACCAACUCAGAUAUCACCACACUGGGUUUGGGACCCUCCUGUGUGCACACCUGGAUCCCAGCACUUCUCAUGCUGUUGUCAUUGAUCCUUGUCCACUGGUGAUGUCAACUCCCCAAGCGAACAUCAGAAAUACUUGCAACCAAGCAAAGCUAAGGUUAUCUGACCUGCCACAGUAAGGGAGAACCUCCACUUGGCAGAAUCUUAGUAGGUUCUGAAAAUGGAGGAAUUAGGGAAGGGUACUUAGAGGGUUUCAUGGUCCAGGCUUGGUGAUUUUAAGGUGGGUCUUGCAAGGCCGUUUUAGCUUUGGAUUGGUGAGCCCAGCAAGGGAACAGUCUUGAAGUGAGUCUGGAUGAGCAAGCUGUUAAUCUUGAUCCUGACAGCGAGCGGUGAUGGCACGUGUGCCCUGUGGGACGUGGAGAGCGGGCAGCUGCUGCAGAGCUUCCACGGACAUGGGGCUGACGUCCUCUGCUUGGACCUGGCCCCCUCAGAAACUGGAAACACCUUCGUGUCUGGGGGAUGUGACAAGAAAGCCAUGGUGUGGGACAUGCGCUCCGGCCAGUGCGUGCAGGCCUUUGAAACACAUGAAUCUGACAUCAACAGCGUCCGGUACUACCCCAGUGGAGAUGCCUUUGCUUCAGGGUCAGAUGAUGCUACGUGUCGCCUCUAUGACCUGCGGGCAGACAGGGAGGUUGCCAUCUAUUCCAAAGAAAGUAUCAUAUUUGGAGCAUCCAGCGUGGACUUCUCCCUCAGUGGUCGCCUGCUGUUUGCUGGAUACAAUGAUUACACUAUCAACGUCUGGGAUGUUCUCAAGGGGUCCCGGGUCUCCAUCCUGUUUGGACAUGAAAAUCGCGUUAGCACUCUGCGAGUUUCUCCCGAUGGGACUGCUUUCUGCUCUGGAUCAUGGGAUCAUACCCUCAGAGUCUGGGCCUAAUCAUCUUCUGACAAUGCACUCAUGUAUACCUGAGAAUUUGAAAUCUUCACAUGUAAAUAGAUAUUACUUCUAGAGGAGCUUAGAGUUUAUUGCAGUUUAGCUUAGGGGAGCAACCUAUGGCUCACAGGUCACUAAGCGUCUCCAACAUGACUAUUAAAACUGUCACCUCUGGAAAUACACUAGUGUGAGCCUUCAGCACUGCGAGAAUACCUUCAAGUACAGUAUUUUUCUUUUGGAACACUUUUUAAAAUGUAUCUGUUUUUAAGGUUAUUCUAAAUUAUAGUAGCCUCAACUCAUUCUGUCACCAGUAGAAUUCAGCAGUUAAUAUAUUCCAUAUUAUUUCUUUGAAUCAAUUCAUUUUCAGAGCACUUUAAAGUCUGAUAUUUCUUGAUGUGCACUGUGAUGCCUGGAACCUUCCUCUGGAAGUGCUGGUUUUAUGGAUUGAGGACUGGUAACUGGUCUGUGAUAGAAGCAAAUUCCAAUUCCAAAUGUAAUUAGACAAAAAGCACUUUUUGUGAAUGUGUUUUUAUUGUAAAUGUAUCUUUUUC
rnacentral:sRNA from 1 species